rnacentral:rRNA from 1 species
UACGUAGGGGGCAAGCGUUUGUCCGGAAUCAUUGGGCGUAAAGAGCGUGUAGGCGGCCAGAUAAGUCCGCUGUGAAAUCUCGAGGCUCAACUUCGAGCUGUCGGUGGAAACUGUCUGGCUAGAGUCCGGAAGAGGAGAAUGGAAUUCCUGGUGUAGCGGUGAAAUGCGCAGAUAUCAGGAAGAACACCCGUGGCGAAGGCGGUUCUCUGGGACGGUACUGACGCUGAGACGCGAAAGCGUGGGGGAGCGAACAGG